rnacentral:rRNA from 1 species
UUAAGUCUGAUGUGAAAGCCCCCGGCUCAACCGGGGAGGGUCAUUGGAAACUGGGGAACUUGAGUACAGAAGAGGAGAGUGGAAUUCCAUGUGUAGCGGUGAAAUGCGCAGAGAUAUGGAGGAACACCAGUGGCGAAGGCGACUUUCUGGUCUGUAACUGACGCUGAUGUGCGAAAGCGUGGGGAUCAAACAGGAUUAGAUACCC